rnacentral:rRNA from 1 species
GACGAACGCUGGCGGCGUGCUUAACACAUGCAAGUCGAACGGCAACGCACUGCUUUUGUGGGGUGCCCGAGUGGCGAACGGGUGAGUAACACGUGAGUAACCUGCUCUUGACUUUGGGAUAACUUCAGGAAACUGGGGCUAAUACCGUAUAGGAGCUCCUGCUGCAUGGUGGGGGUUGGAAAGUUUCGGCGGUUGGGGAUGGACUCGCGGCUUAUCAGCUUGUUGGUGGGGUAGUGGCUUACCAAGGCUUUGACGGGUAGCCGGCAUGAGAGGGUGACCGGCCACAUUGGGACUGAGAUACGGCCCAGACUCCUACGGGGGGCAGCAGUGGGGAAUAUUGCACAAUGGGCGGAAGCCUGAUGCAGCAACGCCGCGUGCGGGAUGACGGCCUGCGGGUUGUAAACCGCUUUCGCCUAUGACGAAGCGUGAGUGACGGUAAUGGGUAAAGAAGCACCGGCUAACUACGUG